CAGUAGCCGCGGUAAAACGGAGGGUGCAAGCGUUAUCCGGAUUUAUUGGGUUUAAAGGGUCCGUAGGCGGAUCUGUAAGUCAGUGGUGAAAUCUCACAGCUUAACUGUGAAACUGCCAUUGAUACUGCAGGUCUUGAGUAAAUUUGAAGUGGCUGGAAUAAGUAGUGUAGCGGUGAAAUGCAUAGAUAUUACUUAGAACACCAAUUGCGAAGGCAGGUCACUAAGAUUUAACUGACGCUGAUGGACGAAAGCGUGGGGAGCGAACAGGAUUAGAUACCCGUGUAGUCCCUGUCUCUUAUAC
rnacentral:rRNA from 1 species